CCUACGGUGGGCUGCAGUGAGGAAUAUUGGUCAAUGGGCGAGAGCCUGAACCAGCCAAGUCGCGUGAGGGAAGACGGUCCUAUGGAUUGUAAACCUCUUUUGCCGGGGAGCAAAAAGCGGUACGUGUACCGCAUCGAGAGUACCCGGAGAAAAAGCAUCGGCUAACUCCGUGCCAGCAGCCGCGGUAAGACGGAAGGUCCGGGCGUUAUCCGGAUUUAUUGGGUUUAAAGGGAGCGUAGGGCGAAUGUCAAGCGUGCUGUGAAAUGUCCGGGCUCAAACCAGGCCUUGCAGGGCUAACUGGCGUGCUUGAGUCCGCGGAAAGCAGGCGGAAUUCGACGUGUAGCGGUGAAAUGCUUAGAUAUGACGAAGAACCCCGAUUGCGAAGGCAGCUUGCUGCAGCAGAACUGACGCUGAUGCUCGAAAGCGCGGGUAUCGAACAGGAUUAGAUACCCCAGUAGUC
rnacentral:rRNA from 1 species